GAGGAAUGUAUAGCAAUAGCUAGUUGCAUCAUAGUAGAUAUGAUGCAAGAUCGACUAUGUUGAAUAAAAUUCUAGGUAGAAUUAUGAUAAUGACAUUGUCUGCCUAUGUGUCUUGACCAAAUUACGUGCCAGCAGUCGCGGUAAUACGUAGAAGACUAGUGUUAUUCAUGUUUAAUCGGUUUAAAGGGUACCUAGACGGUAGAUCAAGCUUUCUAAUAAAGGAAAAGGACUAGUUUACUAGAGUUACUUAUGAGGGGGUAUUAAAGUACUGCUGGUGUAGAGAUGAAAUUCUGUCAUACCUCUUUUCAAAAGAAAAACCAUGGCACAGGUAUAGGCGAAGGCAUCCCCUUAUGUGAUAACUGACGUUGAGGGACGAAGGCUUUGUGUAGCGAACAGGAUUAGAUACCCCAGUAGUCGAAGCAGAAAAUGAUGAAUGUCAUAGAUUAGAUAUAUAAGUUUAUUCUAUAAAUGAAAGUGUAAGCAUUCCACCUCAUGAGUAAUUUGGCAACAUUGGAACUGAAAUCAUUAGACCGUUUCUGAAACCAGUAGUGAAGUAUGUUGUUUAAUUUGAUGUCCCGCAAAAAACCUUACCACAAUUUGAAUAUUUAUAUUGUUUAUUGUUUUAUUAUUAAUUUUCUUGAACGGAAAGAUCACGUAAAAAAAAAAAACAGACACAGAGAUUUAAGAUAAUAGUAAGAAAAUUAAGAAAAAAGCAAUAAGAUAUAAUUACAAGCGUUGCACGGCUGUCUUCAGUUAAUGUCGCGAGACUUUGGUUAGUUCCAUUAAAUUAACGUAAACCCUUACUUUAUUUUUAUAUAGAGUAGUUCCCCGCUAUAUUGGAUAUGAU
rnacentral:rRNA from 1 species